rnacentral:rRNA from 1 species
AUUGAACGCUGGCGGCAGGCCUAACACAUGCAAGUCGAACGAGUGGCGGACGGGUGAGUAAUGUCUGGGAAACUGCCCGAUGGAGGGGGAUAACUACUGGAAACGGUAGCUAAUACCGCAUACUAUCGGAUGUGCCCAGAUGGGAUUAGCUAGUAGGUGGGGUAAUGGCUCACCUAGGCGACGUGCCCUAGCUGUUCUGAGAGGAUGACCAGCCACACUGGGACUGAGACACGGUCCGGACUCCUACGGGAGGCAGCAGGGGGGAAUAUUGCACAAUGGGCGCAAGCCUGAUGCAGCCAUGCCGCGUGUAUGAAGAAGGCAUUCGGGUUGUAAAGUACUUUCAGCCGGGAGGCGUUACUCACAGAAGAAGCACCGGCUAACUCCGUGCCAGCCGCCGCGGUAAUUC